UCAGACCUCUUUUAGGGUUUUUUUUUGAGGUUCUUUUGGGGUUCUUUUAUUCUCCUGAGGGAGAUUCUCUUCGGGUUCUUUUAGGAUUCUCUUAGGGUUCUUUGCCAAGUUCCUUCAGGGUUCUCUUAAGGUUCAAGGUUCUUUGGGAAUUUCUUUCAAGAUUCUUUUAGGGUCUUUUUAGAGGUCUUUUAGGUUUCUGGGGAGGUUCUUUCAGGGUGGUCUUAGGGUUCUUUGCCAGGUUCUUCGGGAGGUUCUUUGGGGUUUCUUAGGGUUCUUUGGGAGGUUCUUUUAGGGUUGUUUUAGGGUUCUUUUCAAGGUUCUUUGGGAAGUUC